UACGAAGGGGGCUAGCGUUGUUCGGAAUUACUGGGCGUAAAGGGCGCGUAGGCGGCGUGUCAAGUCAGGCGUGAAAGCCCCGGGCUCAACCUGGGAACCGCGCUUGAGACUGGAGAACUAGAGUUCGGGAGAGGAUGGUGGAAUUCCCAGUGUAGAGGUGAAAUUCGUAGAUAUUGGGAAGAACACCGAUGGCGAAGGCAGCCAUCUGGACCGACACUGACGCUGAGGCGCGAAAGCCAGGGGAGCGAACGGG
rnacentral:rRNA from 1 species